CUACUGUCUGGGGUGGAAAGGUAGGCCUACUGUCUGGGGUGGAAAGGUAGGCCUACUGUCUGGGGUGGAAAGGUAGGCCUACUGUCUGGGGUGGAAAGGUAGGCCUACUGUCUGGGGUGGAAAGGUAGGCCUACUGUCUGGGGUGGAAAGGUAGGCCUACUGUCUGGGGUGGAAAGGUAGGCCUACUGUCUGGGGUGGAAAGGUAGGCCUACUGU